UCUUAAAACUUUUUUCAUCAUGGUCAGUCAUCGUAUCUCUUUCAUCCACGACUGUACCUUUGCCAAACAGUUUUCGCCACCCAGAUCUCCACGAUAUUGCUGUGAGCUCCCUCCUUUUCUUUCUUCGAUUUUCCAUAUGGUGAGAGGGGUUUUGCUCCUCCUUCUUCCUUCUUCUCAAAUCUGGUUCCUCAUGGAAGAUCUAGCCAGACUCUGUGUAUCCCAUUCUGGUUAGAGUAGUCAUCUCGUGCGAUGCAGGUUUCAUCUUCCUUUCUUUUGCUAUUUUUAAUUUCCCAUUUUUGAUUAAUUGUUAUUUAGUUUUUUGGUUUUGACUUAAGGAUGAAGAAGGUAGUAAAAAUAUUCUUGGUGUGAUGAUAGAUCUGUCGUUUAUUGUUUAUUGUUUAUUUGAAUGGAAGAUUGUUUGGUGAUUUAAGAGGUAGAAUAAGAAUAUAAUGUUGGUUUGUGUGCUAGGUCUGUUAAAUGGGAGUAGAAAAUAUGAAAAUGGUGAUAGAGAAAAGGAAUGGAGUGGGUUUCACUGUAAGAAAUUUUGUUCAUGAAAUUAAACAUGAAUAAAAAUAGAGAACCUGUAGCUUGAAAUAUGCAUGAUGCUUGAAAUAUGGGAAGAUUGAUUUAGUUUUUUAUGAUGAAUUUUGACUCAUUGAUUUUGCUUUGUUUCAGGAAGAUGACGACAAAACUUGUGGAGGAGAGAGGGCUGCAAUUGAAGCAAAUUAAUAUUACGUAAAGGUACAGUGCUUUGAAUUAAUUUAAUAUAAAUGUAAAGGAUAGUGCUUUGAAUUGAUCUUAUUUUAUUUGCAUUUCUAUUUUGAGAAGACCAUUUAAAAGAUUGGAGCUUUGAAAAUAUUCUACGUAUACAUCCAAAUGAAACUUAAAAUAUGCAUAAUAAUUCAUCGUACAUAUCAUGCUUUUGGCACCAUGUAAUAGUUAGCUGAAACAAAUUUUAUUUUAAAUUAUUCAUUGACUACUUUUACUAUUAAAUGAUGACUUUUCUCACACUUUUAAAAUUUAUGUAUACAUUCAUUUUAAAUGCUUUUUGAUAUGAUUUAUUUUUUUAUUUUAUUUCAAAGUUUAAUUUAUAAUUAUUUAGUUAGUUUUUAAGAUUACAAUAGUAAUAAUAAUAAUUAUUAUUAUUAUAUAUAAUCAGUUUUUUCUAUUACUUAAUAAUUGAAUAAUUUUACACUUAGUUAUUAUUGAUUUUUUAUUAUGUAAAUUUAAGUAUUUUUAAAAGUAUUUGCAUACUUAAAUUUAUUAAUAAUUGAAGUAGGUGCACAUGAAAUGAUGACAUGGAAAAAGAAGAAGAAGGUGAUGUUGUGUCAAAGCUUUAUGGCCAUGUUGUUGUCAAGGUUGAGCAGAAACCAAAAAAAUAUAUAAUAUAUAUGGAUAAAUUAUGGACAAAUUAUGCUCAUGUUUUGUUUAGAUUAUUUUUAAAUUUAAAAGUUAAAGUUAAACUUUUGUUUACACUACACAUUUUGUGUUAGACAUCUUACUAUUUAUUUUUCAUUUUGAAAUUUUUAUUAUGUACUUGAGUGGAAUAAUUU
rnacentral:lncRNA from 1 species